rnacentral:rRNA from 1 species
CGGGGUGAGUAAUGUCUGGGAAACUGCCUGAUGGAGGGGGGUAACUACUGGAAACGGUAGCUAAUACCGCAUAACGUCUUCGGACCAAAGUGGGGGACCUUCGGGCCUCGCGCCAUCGGAUGUGCCCAGAUGGGAUUAGCUAGUAGGUGGGGUAAUGGCUCACCUAGGCGACGAUCCCUAGCUGGUCUGAGAGGAUGACCAGCCACACUGGAACUGAGACACGGUCCAG